CUCUCCUUAGGAGUUAUGCAGCAAGCCCAGGAUGUGGGCAAAGAACAAUGUUGUCUGUUGGCCUGUUCUUGGUAUGUGGCAAUGAAGCACCUGAAGGAAAGCAAAUUGAAGAUCCACUUGGAAUCUGAGCCCUUAUGAAAAUGUCCUGUUUUGUACAAAUAAUCACAAGACCAAUUUCAAAUUCAUCUUUACAUUGGACUUGUUGUGAAGAAUGCUCUUAUUAUUAAAUGAGGAUUGUCUUAUCCAUUUUUUUCUUAAUAAUUUCAUUGCACUUUAUUUUUUAAAUUUAAAAUGAUGCUGUAUUUCUUAAAGAAGCAAACAAAUUCAUAUAUGCAAAUAUGUCACAAAUCUAACAAAUGCUACAGAUUAUACAACUGCCAUGUUAUUACGUCCAUAACUUUAAAGCCUUUGCUUUGGUACAAAUGAACUGGUAGCAGGAGAAGUUGUGUCAGGUUGUCAUUGACUGCUAAGAAUAACUGCAUAAUUGCACAUUUUAUUCUAUCCAGAUAACGAUGUCUUUGAAUUAUCCAUUUUUUCCAGGGCGAAUUUAAAAAGUGUGGGAAGGAAAACAUGAAAAUAUACUGCCUUUUGAAGCAAGUUAGUAGUAAAAAUGAAGUAGCAAAAUAUUUCCCUUUUCCCUACUGGCUUGUAACUAAUGUGAGUUUCUUGAAGUUUUACGUGCCGACAAAAAAUGAUAAAUAUGUUGGAAAAAGGAAGGGGAAAAUGAAAGAGUAAGCUGACCAUAUAAAGUAGCUGAUGUAAAGAUGGAGAGACAUAGCCAUAGAAACUAGUCACAUAAAUAGUCAUGAAAUGAAAAGUUUCAGAUUUGUAUUGAAGUAAAAAAAAAAACUACUUAGAGAAAGGCCAACAGGCCAGACUAAAUAAUCCUCGACUUAACGUCCAAUUCUGAAUCACAUAUUAGCUGCAGAGAUUUUAAUGUAAAUAUGCCAUUACACUGUCAUUACAGUGAUCAGGCUGCAUGGCUCACAGGUCACAUCUCAGCCACUGUUAAUUUUGCAGGCAAAAGCUUUUUUUCUCUUGAAAUGUUAAUAACUUUCUAUUAGUUAAUGUAGCGUGACUAAAAUUCAGAUUAGAUAUAAUUCAUUUUAAUAUCUGUGACUGGCUAUCCCGAUCAUUUAGCAAUGGUUUCCAGCUGAAUACAAGAUGCUAAAUUGGACUCAUUUGCAUAGCUCUGUUAAAGCAAUGCCAUUCUCUAAAUGUAGGCAUCUUGAAAUUAAUUUAAAAGAUUUUUUUUUUUCUGGUUUUGCUACCAGGAUAAGAUCUUUUGCUAACAACUAAUUGAAGUUACUAUAAGCCUAACACAUCUUUUUCCUUCUUUUCUCAGGAACAAAUGACUAGUUAAUAUCAUUAACUAGGGAAAAAAUAGCCUCAGUUCUUCUUAGAGUAUAAAAUGGUUGAAUUGGGAAUUGUGGACAGACCAGCCAUCACUACUUAAACCAACUGGAUGAUUGGAUGUCAGCAAUUCACUGGGAAGAAGAAAGGUAGCAAUAACUACUGCCUGGGAUGGGCUGAGAUAAGAAAUUGCAAGAGUUGGAAGGCGCAGCAGUCCAGCUUCGGUAUCCAUUGAGAUCAAAACUAAAGAAAUGGACCCAUCUCUAUUCAAAAUGAAUUUCUUUCAUACAAAAAACACAAAGGAAACUGAAGCUACAUUUCUAAAUACUGAAAAGCAAAGAAUAAAGGUGACUUUUCCCUUAAAGUGUUCUAUGCCAACGUCAUUUAGUGCUUUGGCAAAUCCCAGGAUAUUCUAAGAGGACUAGUUUAGGGUAGUAAGCCAUGCACAUACCUUUUCAUUAGCUGCUUAUUUUCAAACAGAGGCCUACAGAAAUUCCAGUGCUCUGAACCCUCACAGGGGAAUGAAGCAAACAGAAAAGAUCUUGUUAAAAGGGUCCUUCUCCAAAGACUACUUUUUUUCCAUUUUUUUAAGUACUCUUCUCUGGGAAAAGAGAAACCAGAUUUAGCUGAAAAUGCCCACUGUGCCAACUUCCAGUACUUUCUUGUAUUUGUCAAUGGCACCAGCCAGUUUUGGCAUCACUCCUUGUUUGUCUAUGGCUAGGGUUCCUGAAAGGAGGCUGAAAUAGUAGACAGGGUCACUUCUGUGGGUAGAUUUCAUGAGAUUGCAUUCUCUAUGUGCACGGCUUCUGUUUCUCCUGUGUAUACCAGUGAUUAACUAUGAUUAGUAUUUAGUUACGCAGAAGCAGUGCUUACACAAGGUUAGUGCCUUGCUCUUGUGUUCUGCUUUCUGUCACUCAUCCUUCAACCUGGAGUCCUCUAUUUAGCAUUACAAGUACCUUGAAUAUUCUUCUGUCAUCUCUAACAACCCCCACUCUGCUUUGUUCUAUGGUCUUUCUGAGCAUCUUUGAUAGCUGAUUUUUUCCUCUCCUUACCGUUUUUCCUUCUUCAUUAAAAUAACAUUUUAAAUCCUUUCUUUUCUCCCUUAGAGACAGCUUUUUUCUCUUCUUUUUUUCCCAACCUUUUCUCACCUCUGAGAAGUUAAAGUUCCCAAGGUGAAUAUUCUGUCUUGUCAGUCCAGGGCUCUUUCUUCACAACUGUGUAUCUACUAUCUUGUUCUCCAAACUUCUAUCACAAACUUUUACAAUAAUAAUAUAUAAAUAAUUAUUGUAUUGCAUUUUGUACUUGUAUAUGGAUGUUAGCUACAAGCAGAUAUUAACAUGAUAUUGAGAUUGUAAUAUUAUGCAAGAAGAAUGACAUAAUUUAAGCAAAUCAAUAAGGGUUAAUAAAACCUAGAUCUUGUCAGAGUAAUUUGAUAUAUAUUGAUGAGAACUUUAGGAUGUUAUAAAAAUGUAGAGAGAAAUAGUUUUUAUGUAAAAUUCGAUUUGAUUUCAUGAAACAUCUUAUUACAAAACUUGAACAUUACAAGAUCAAUAUGGUACAUACUAAAUAUAUUAAACAUGACAUUGUUCUUAAAAAUGUAGUUGCAAAUAGUGAGCUGUCCACUGAGUACACAUAUUUCU